GCCGGCGCGUGGAACAGAAGGGAGCACGGCACUGUCAAAAGGCCGUGAGACAUGCGGGAGCCGCAGCAGGGGAGGCUGAGGGUGGAGGUUUAGAGGAAAGGAGUGAGGCUGAGGCUGCGAAGGAGGAGCGUGGUGUGGGGGGACCGGGAGGCCGUGGCGUGGGAGGAGCCUGGUGCGGGGGGACCGGGCGGGGGGGCCGUGGGGUGGGGGGGGGGUGGGGGGGGGGGGCCGGGAGGCCGUGGGGUGAGUGGCAGCACGGGCUAGGGCUGAGCUCGGGGCCAGGGCAGGGCGCUUGCCCUUGGGAGGGAGAAAACAGACAAGGGACAGGAUGUGGUGAGCAUCGGCCCGCCAAACGCCGCGGCCACGGCCUGCUGAAGUCUGUAGAUCACAGGCUCGGCAUGAAGGAGGAACAGCAGACGUGGCUGUGAGGUGCCGCUGGUGGGAGCAGAGCUGGGAAGGGAACCUGGGUGUGACCCUGGGGCCGGGGCUGAGCGGGGAGAGGGACCGGAGAAGGGACGGGGCUGCUGGAACCAAGGAGGGCGACCAGAGGAGCACGGGCCCCCACCCCAGCCCCAGCUCCCAGGUGGUACACCGACCUGUCACUCAAAAAGCAGCCUGUGAGUUUUCGGAAGAACAGAUUCUUGGCCGUGGAGCCAACACAGGUUUCUCCUGCAGUCUCUGCAGCCGUGGUCAGCGAUACAGAAGCUCUUGCAUGCUGGAGCACCUGGUGUGUGCACUGCAGACUUUGACGGCAGCUUUUCUUUUAUACUUUCCACAUUUUGUCCUUUGAGAGUCUGUUCUGGGAAGACAGGACCUGCUAUAAAAACAAACAAUACCAAGAUGGGUUACAAUUCGCCUCCGUCCUCAGCCCCAGGGUGGGCUGCAUGGAGUGUUGAUUCCCAGGGAGAUGACUUAAGGAGAUGUUCUCCUUCUCAAAGGAGAAGCCAAAAAUGAAGCAGACAUUCAAGUGAUCAGCUAAGGUGGCAGCAGGAGGCAGCCCAGGAAUCACAGAUGGAACUGGGAGAGGAGAUCGGUGUGAUGGGCAGUGGGACCCCUGGCUGCCGACACACUCCUCUCUCACCACCUAUCCCAUUCGAUCUUACACGUUUCUCUCUCCUCCAAUAGAGUCUGAGCUCCUGGGUGGCAGGGCUAGAGUGUGUGCACCUUUUAUCCUUGGAACAACCUCAGUUCCUGGUACAUUACAUGGUCACUAAAAGUUUGCUGCACUGAAUUAAACAGAAUUGGUUCAUGCUAUUAAAUUGUGGACAAGUUUAGAAUCAACAGAAUUGUUGGCAUUGAUGGGCAGGGCCCU
rnacentral:lncRNA from 1 species